GGGCCCGCACAAGCGGUGGAGCAUGUGGCUUAAUUCGAGGCAACGCGAAGAACCUUACCUGGUCUUGACAUGCCCGUCAUAGUUUUCCGAAAGGAAUUCGUCAGUUCGGCUGGACGGUGCACAGGUGCUGCAUGGCUGUCGUCAGCUCGUGUCGUGAGAUGUUCGUUAAGUCCGGCAACGAGCGCAACCCUCGUUCCUAGUUGCCAGCGGGUAAUGCCGGGGACUCUAGGAAGACAAACCUCGUGUAGAGGUGGGAAGGUGGGGACGACGUCAAGUCAGUAUGGCCCUUACGACCAGGGCUGCACACGUGCUACAAUGCCCAGCACAAUGGGAUGCAACACCGCGAGGUUGAGCAAA
rnacentral:rRNA from 1 species